rnacentral:rRNA from 1 species
UACGGAGGGUGCAAGCGUUAUCCGGAUUUACUGGGUUUAAAGGGUGCGUAGGUGGGUAGGUAAGUCAGUGGUGAAAUCUUCGAGCUUAACUCGGAAACUGCCAUUGAUACUAUUUAUCUUGAAUACUCUGGAGGUAAGCGGAAUAUGUCAUGUAGCGGUGAAAUGCUUAGAUAUGACAUAGAACACCCAAUUGCGAAGGCAGCUUACUACAUAGUUAUUGACACUGAGGCACGAAAGCGUGGGAUCAAACAGGG